rnacentral:rRNA from 1 species
UACAGGGGUGCAAACGUUGCUCGGAAUCAUUGGGCGUAAAGCGCACGUAGGCGGUUCGUUAUGUCGGAUGUGAAGCCCUUGGCUUAACCGAGGAAGUGCAUCCGAAACUGGCGAGCUAGAGUACGAAAGAGGAUCGCGGAAUUUCCGGUGUAGCGGUGAAAUGCGUAGAUAUCGGAAGGAACACCAGUGGCGAAAGCGGCUUCCUGGUCCGACACCGACGUCAGGCACGAAAGCGUGGGGAGCAAACAGGG